rnacentral:misc_RNA from 1 species
GGAAGGAUCAUCACUGAUUCUCGGGGAUGGGGUGAUGUGUGUGUUUGUCGCGCAUCUCCCCGCCCCAACCAAUCUUGUGUGCACCGUUUCUCACCGAUCAAGGAGAGCAAUCAAUAAUGCGCGUGUGACAUGUGUGUGUUGGCAAGGGAGGGAGGGAGCCUUACCACACUCUACUCUCUCUUGCCAACCGCACGCACCCUGUCGCUCGUGUUUUUUUCUCUCUAUUUAAAAUCUCUUAAAAUCUUGUCUAACACGUUACCUAAAUUUUUCAACACAUACAACUUUUAACAAUGGAUCUCUUGGCUCUCGCAUCGAUGAAGAACGCAGCAAAUUGCGAAAAUUAAUGUGCAUUGCAGUACGUGAAUCAUCGAGUCUUUGAACGCAACUUGCACUCUAGGUUCUCCUAGAGUAUGCCUAUUUGAGUAUCAGUACACCACCCCACUCAAACCCCCACGUGUGCGGGGUUUGGAUCUGAUGAGUCGUGUGUGCGCAUGCGCAUCGACUUGAAGUGUACACUGAAUCGGGCCUAUGCAUACUGUGCAUGCGGUACUGACGUGAUAGUCUUUUAUGGACACGCGUCGCCUCCUCUCUUGAGGAGGCAGGCGCGCACUCGUCAGGCUCAAUCCACGUGCCAGUCAUAGUGAUUAAUUACUACCCAGUCACACACCCACCCCUUUUUUAUCACUUGAAUCUCGAUCUCAAAUUAGGUAGGACUACCCGCUGAAUUUAAGCAUAUCAAUAAGCGGAGGAAAAGAAACUAACAAGGAUUCCCCUAGUAACGGCGAGCGAAGCGGGAAUAGCUCAAAUUUGAAAUCUGGCCUGGCACAUGCGCUGGGUCCGAAUUGUAGUUUACAGUCCGUGUAUCGGUGCCACUAGCUGGUAUAAUUUGCCUGGAAUGGCAAGUCAUAGAGGGUGAUAGUCCCGUCCAUGACCAGCCGCGUGCGCGCCACACGUUACACCGGACCUAGAGUCGAGUUGUUUGGGAAUGCAGCUCAAAAUGGGAGGUAGAUUUCUUCUAAAGCUAAAUAAUGGCGAGAGACCGAUAGCGAACAAGUACCGUGAGGGAAAGAUGAAAAGAACUCUGAAGAGAGAGUGAAACAGUACGUGAAAUUGUUAAAAGGGAAACGCUUGAAACCGCUAUGGCGCGCACGCGCCUGCCAACAUCAGUUUGGCGCUGGGUACACAAAGCCGCGGGAAAUGUAGGAUCCGCUUUGGCGUAUCUGUUAUAGUCCCACGCGCGUAUGUACCGUGCCGGACUGAGGUCUGCCGCCGUGCCUUUUGCGCGCGGCGUAGGAUGUUGGCUGAAUGGUUUUAAUCGACCCGUCUUGAAACACGGACCAAGGAGUCUAACAUGUAUGCGAGUAUUUGGGUGACGAAACCCACGUGCGCAAUGAAAGUGAAUCAAGGAUGGGACACACCCCUCGCGGGUGUCGCACCAUCGACCGAACCCCCCUUACCGGGAUUUGAGUAGGAGCAUACAUGCUGGGACCCGAAAGAUGGUGAACUAUGCCUGAAUAGGGUGAAGCCAGAGGAAACUCUGGUGGAGGCUCGUAGCGAUUCUGACGUGCAAAUCGAUCGUCAAAUUUGGGUAUAGGGGCGAAAGACUAAUCGAACCAUCUAGUAGCUGGUUCCUGC